rnacentral:rRNA from 1 species
CGGGGUAACGGCCCACCGUGGCGACGAUGCGUAGGGGUUCUGAGAGGAAGGUCCCCCACACUGGUACUGAGACACGGACCAGACUCCUACGGGAGGCAGCAGUGAGGAAUAUUGGUCAAUGGGAGAGAUCCUGAACCAGCCAAGCCGCGUGAGGGAAGACGGCCCUAUGGGUUGUAAACCUCUUUUGUCGGAGAACAAAACCCGGGACGUGUCCCGGACUGCGUGUAUCCGAAGAAAAAGCAUCGGCUAACUCCGUGCCAGCAGCCGCGGUAAUACGGAGGAUGCGAGCGUUAUCCGGAUUUAUUGGGUUUAAAGGGUGCGUAGGCGGUCCGUUAAGUCAGCGGUAAAAUUGCGGGGCUCAACCCCGUCGAGCCGUUGAAACUGGCAGACUUGAGUUGGCGAGAAGUACGCGGAAUGCGCGGUGUAGCGGUGAAAUGCAUAGAUAUCGCGCAGAACUCCGAUUGCGAAGGCAGCGUACCGGCGCCAGACUGACGCUGAGGCACGAAAGCGUGGGGAUCGAACAGGAUUAGAUACCCUGGUAGUCCACGCAGUAAACGA